UACGUAGGGACCAAGCGUUGUCCGGAUUUAUUGGGCGUAAAGAGCUCGUAGGCGGCCGAUCGCGUCGGAUGUGAAAGCUCGGGGCUCAACCCUGAGAGGUCAUUCGAUACGGGUCGGCUAGAGGCAGGUAGGGGAGAUCGGAAUUCCUGGUGUAGCGGUGAAAUGCGCAGAUAUCAGGAGGAACACCGGUGGCGAAGGCGGAUCUCUGGGCCUGUUCUGACGCUGAGGAGCGAAAGCUGGGGGAGCAAACAGG
rnacentral:rRNA from 1 species